UACAGAGGGGGCAAGCGUUGUUCGGAAUUACUGGGCGUAAAGGGUUUGUAGGUGGCUUGCUAAGUCAGACGUGAAAUCCCUCAGCUUAACUGGGGAACUGCGUCUGAGACUGGUGAGCUUGAGUGCAGGAGAGGAACGCGGAAUUCCAGGUGUAGCGGUGAAAUGCGUAGAUAUCUGGAGGAACACCGGUGGCGAAGGCGGCGUUCUGGACUGCAACUGACACUGAGGAACGAAAGCCAGGGGAGCAAACGGG
rnacentral:rRNA from 1 species